CCGGAGGAAGGUGGGGAUGAUGUCAAGUCCUCACUUGGCCCUUAUGGGUAGGGCUUCACACGUCAUACAAUGGUCGGUACAGAGGGUUGCCAACCCGCGAGGGGGAGCUAAUCCCACAAAGCCGAUCGUAGUCCGGAUCGCAGUCUGCAACUCGACUGCGUGAAGUCGGAAUCGCUAGUAAUCGUGGAUCAGCAUGUCACGGUGAAUACGUUCCCGGGUCUU
rnacentral:rRNA from 1 species